rnacentral:rRNA from 1 species
CAGCCGCGUGUGUGAGAAGGCCUGAGGGUUGUAAAGCACUUUCAGUGGGGAGGAGGAUAGCAUGGUUAAGAGCUGAGCUAUUGGACGUUACCUACAGAAGAAGCACCGGCUAACUCCGUGCCAGCAGCCGCGGUAAUACGGAGGGUGCGAGCGUUAAUCGGAAUUACUGGGCGUAAAGGGUGCGUAGGUGGUUAAAUAAGUUAGAUGUAAAAACCCUGGGCUUAACCUAGGACUGAGAUUUAAUACUGUUUAACUAGAGUAUGGGAGAGGGUAGUGGAAUUUCCGGUGUAGCGGUGAAAUGCGUAGAGAUCGGAAGGAACACCAGUGGCGAAGGCGGCUACCUGGCCUAAUACUGACACUGAGGCACGAAAGCGUGGGGAGCAAACAGGAUUAGAUACCCUGGUAGUCCACGCUGUAAACGAUGUCAACUAGCCGUUGG